UACGUAGGGUGCGAGCGUUAAUCGGAAUUACUGGGCGUAAAGCGUGCGCAGGCGGCUCUGCAAGUCGAGUGUGAAAUCCCCGAGCUUAACUUGGGAAUUGCGCUCGAAACUAUGGAGCUGGAGUGUGGCAGAGGAAGGUGGAAUUCCACGUGUAGCGGUGAAAUGCGUAGAGAUGUGGAGGAACACCAGUGGCGAAGGCGACUCUUUGGCCUGUAACUGACGCUGAGGCGCGAAAGCGUGGGGAGCAAACAGG
rnacentral:rRNA from 1 species